rnacentral:rRNA from 1 species
AGAGUUUGAUCAUGGCUCAGGACGAACGCUGGCGGCGCGCCUAACACAUGCAAGUCGAACGGAGUUGUGUUGAAAGCUUGCUGGAUAUACAACUUAGUGGCGGACGGGUGAGUAACACGUGAGUAACCUGCCUCUCAGAGUGGAAUAACGUUUGGAAACGAACGCUAAUACCGCAUAACGUGAGAAGAGGGCAUCCUCUUUUUACCAAAGAUUUAUCGCUGAGAGAUGGGCUCGCGGCCGAUUAGGUAGUUGGUGAGAUAACAGCCCACCAAGCCGACGAUCGGUAGCCGGACUGAGAGGUUGAUCGGCCACAUUGGGACUGAGACACGGCCCAGACUCCUACGGGAGGCAGCAGUGGGGGAUAUUGCACAAUGGGGGAAACCCUGAUGCAGCGACGCCGCGUGAGGGAAGACGGUUUUCGGAUUGUAAACCUCUGUCUUUAGGGACGAAAAAAUGACGGUACCUAAGGAGGAAGCCACGGCUAACUACGUGCCAGCAGCCGCGGUAAUACGUAGGUGGCAAGCGUUGUCCGGAAUUACUGGGUGUAAAGGGAGCGUAGGCGGGGAGACAAGUUGAAUGUCUAAACUAUCGGCUUAACUGAUAGUCGCGUUCAAAACUAUCACUCUUGAGUGCAGUAGAGGUAGGCGGAAUUCCUAGUGUAGCGGUGAAAUGCGUAGAUAUUAGGAGGAACACCAGUGGCGAAGGCGGCCUACUGGGCUGUAACUGACGCUGAGGCUCGAAAGCGUGGGUAGCAAACAGGAUUAGAUACCCUGGUAGUCCACGCCGUAAACGAUGAUUACUAGGUGUGGGGGGACUGACCCCUUCCGUGCCGGAGUU